ACCAGCCUGGAGUGUUCGAGACCCCCUGCUAUUUUGAACCUACAUUUUUGAACUUGGGAAACUAAAUCAUUGAAGGGAUGGCAUGCCUCACUGUUUUGAGAGGACGUCAGAUAUUUAAUUGAAGUUACCCACCUGGCUUUGGCUAGGACUCAAAAUCGCAGGCUACGGCAUUUUGGGUGUAU
rnacentral:other from 1 species